AACUUGUAUGUAAAAUAAUUUCUCAGGAAAUUGUUUGUGUUCCUUUAAAACACAAAUACAAAUCAAUAAUUACAACUGCUCGAAUCUUCCCCACGAGUCACACAUCCUGUUUCCCUCAACUACAAAUCACAAAUCUGUGCAUUCAGUCUAUGGAGAAAAAGGCGGGUGCUGAUCUUAGAUCGACUGAUUCCACAACCAGUCAAAGGAGAGGGGCUUUUGUCUGCAUGGCGGAGUAAGAAGUCACGUCAAGGGGAAGGGGGCGGGGUUAUUGAGCCACUCAGCCGCUGCAGUGCUGGAAAGCGUAACGCUGCCGCAAACGGGCCCCGAGUUAUCUGCCAUUGAAUAAGACAGUGCUAACUAUGAGCUAACGUCACUACUCCACUGCGGCUCACCAACACCAUCCAGCAGCUCAGGUCAAAGCCACCAGACCAGACCAGGGAAGAGGAAGAGAGACAGCAACACAGAGCUGCUUGAAUACCUGGAGAGGGCAGAUGAGAGGUUCUCACAGCACAGCAAGGACCUGAAUGAUGCCCUGCUGCAGAAGCUGGAGACUGACACCAGUGCGUUUCUUGGACUGAUGGGGUGCAUGGUGUCUGUG